rnacentral:rRNA from 1 species
ACGUAGGGUGCGAGCGUUAAUCGGAAUUACUGGGCGUAAAGUGUGCGCAGGCGGCGCCGCAAGUCGAGUGCGAAAGCCCCGGGCUUAACUUGGGAAUUGCGCUCGAAACUAUGGUGCUGGAGUGUGGCAGAGGAAGGUGGAAUUCUCGGUGUAGCGGUGAAAUGCGUAGAUAUCGAGAGGAACACCUGCGGCGAAGGCGGGUUGCUGGGCUGACACUGACGCUGAUGUGCGAAAGCUAGGGGAGCGAACGGGA